rnacentral:rRNA from 1 species
ACGUAGGGGGCGAGCGUUAUCCGGAUUUACUGGGUGUAAAGGGAGCGCAGACGGAAGAGCAAGUCUGAUGUGAAAACCCGGGGCUCAACCCCGGGCCUGCAUUGGAAACUGUUUUUCUGGAGUACUGGAAGGGCAGGCGGAAUUCCUGGUGUAGCGGUGAAAUGCUUAGAUAUCAGGAGGAACACCGGUGGCGAAGGCGGCCUGCUGGACAGUAACUGACGUUGAGGCUCGAAAGCGUGGGGAGCAAACAG